AGCCAUCAUUUAAAGAAAGCGUAAUAGCUCACUGGUCGAGUCGGCCUGCGCGGAAGAUGUAACGGGGCUAAACCAUGCACCGAAGCUGCGGCAGCGACACUCAGGUGUUGUUGGGUAGGGGAGCGUUCUGUAAGCCUGCGAAGGUGUGUCGUGAGGCAUGCUGGAGGUAUCAGAAGUGCGAAUGCUGACAUAAGUAACGAUAAAGCGGGUGAAAAGCCCGCUCGCCGGAAGACCAAGGGUUCCUGUCCAACGUUAAUCGGGGCAGGGUGAGUCGACCCCUAAGGCGAGGCCGAAAGGCGUAGUCGAUGGGAAACGGGUUAAUAUUCCCGUACUUGGUGUUACUGCGAAGGGGGGACGGAGAAGGCUAUGUUGGCCGGGCGACGGUUGUCCCGGUUUAAGCGUGUAGGUGUGUGUUCCAGGUAAAUCCGGAACACUGAGGCGUGAUGACGAGGCACUACGGUGCUGAAGCAACAAAUGCCCUGCUUCCAGGAAAAGCCUCUAAGCAUCAGGUAACAUCAAAUCGUACCCCAAACCGACACAGG
rnacentral:rRNA from 1 species